rnacentral:rRNA from 1 species
CGGCAUGCUUAACACAUGCAAGUUUAACGUCUUUGAUGGAAACAUCAAAGCAGUGACGGACGGGUGAGUAAUGUGUAAGAAUCAACGUUUAGGCGAGGGACAACAGUUGGAAACGUCUGCUAAUACCUCAUAAUGCUAUAAAGUUAAAGGAAAUCCACCUAAACACGAGCUUGCAUCUGAUUAGCUAGUUGGUGUGGUAAAGGCUUACCAAGGCAAUGAUCAGUAGCUGAUUUGAGAAGAUGAUCAGCCACACUGGGAUUGAGAACGGAACAGACUUCUACGGAAGGCAGCAGUGAGGAAUUUUCCGCAAUGGGCGAAAGCCUGACGGAGCAAUGCCGCGUGAAGGAAAGAAGGCCUUAGGGUUGUAAACUUCUUUUCUCAUAGAAGAAGAAAAAUUUAUGACGGUAUAUGAGGAAUAAGCAUCGGCUAAUUCCGUGCCAGCAGCCGCGGUAAUACGGGAGAUGCAAGCGUUAUCCGGAAUUAUUGGGCGUAAAGAGUUUGUAGGUCGUCAAGUAUGUUUAAUGUUAAAUAUUAAAGCUUAACUUUGAAAUUGCAUUAAAAACUGCUAGACUUGAGUGUGGGAGGGGUAAAGGGAAUUUCCAGUGUAGCGGUGAAAUGCGUAGAUAUUGGAAAGAACACCAAAAGCGAAGGCACUUUACUAGUCCUCAAAAAAAACUGACACUGAGAAACGAAAGCUAAGGGAGCAAACAGGAUUAGAUACCCUGGUAGUCUUAGCUGUAAACGAUGGAUACUGGGUGGUGCAUAAUGUGCACUGCUGUAGUUAACACGAUAAGUAUCCCGCCUGGGAAGUACGCUUGCAAAAGUGAAACUCAAAGGAAUUGACGGGGGCCCGCACAAGCGGUGGAGCAUGUGGUUUAAUUCGAUGCAACACGAAGAACCUUACCAGGGUUUGACAUGCUAGGAAGUAACAUGAAAGUGUUAUGUGCUCGAUUUUGAGAACCUAGACACAGGUGGUGCAUGGCUGUCGUCAGCUCGUGUCGUGAGAUGUUGGGUUAAGUCCCGCAACGAGCGCAACCCUUAUUUUUAGUUAAAUUAAAAAAUUAAAGAAACUGCCGGUCUUAAGCCGGAGGAAGGUGAGGACGACGUCAAGUCAUCAUGCCCCUUAUAUCCUGGGCUACACACGUGCUACAAUGGUUAAGACAAAAAGCAGCAAUCUUGUGAAAGUGAGCCAAUCUUAAAACUUAGCCUUAGUUCGGAUUGUAGGCUGCAACUUGCCUACAUGAAGCUGGAAUCGCUAGUAAUCGCCGGUCAGCUAUACGGCGGUGAAUACGUUCUCGGGCCUUGUACACACCGCCCGUCACACCAUGGGAGUCGGCUGUGCCCGAAGUCGUUAUCUUACCCGUAAGGAAAGAAACAUCUAAGGCCUGGCUGGUAACUGGGGUGAAGUCGUAACAAGGUA